rnacentral:rRNA from 1 species
AACGAACGCUGGCGGCAUGCCUAACACAUGCAAGUCGAACGAGACCUUCGGGUCUAGUGGCGCACGGGUGCGUAACGCGUGGGAACCUGCCCUUAGGUUCGGAAUAACUCCCCGAAAGGGGUGCUAAUACCGGAUAAUGUCUUCGGACCAAAGAUUUAUCGCCUUUGGAUGGGCCCGCGUUGGAUUAGCUAGUUGGUAGGGUAAAGCCUACCAAGGCGACGAUCCAUAGCUGGUCUGAGAGGAUGAUCAGCCACACUGGGACUGAGACACGGCCCAGACUCCUACGGGAGGCAGCAGUGGGGAAUAUUGGACAAUGGGCGAAAGCCUGAUCCAGCAAUGCCGCGUGAGUGAUGAAGGCCUUAGGGUUGUAAAGCUCUUUUACCCGGGAUGAUAAUGACAGUACCGGGAGAAUAAGCUCCGGCUAACUCCGUG